AAACCUUACCCACCUUUGACAUGUACGGAAGUUGCCAGAGAUGGCUUCGUGCUCGAAAGAGAGCCGUAACACAGGUGCUGCAUGGCUGUCGUCAGCUCGUGUCGUGAGAUGUUGGGUUAAGUCCCGCAACGAGCGCAACCCUUGCCAUUAGUUGCUACGAAAGGGCACUCUAAUGGGACUGCCGGUGACAAACCGGAGGAAGGUGGGGAUGACGUCAAGUCCUCAUGGCCCUUAUAGGUGGGGCUACACACGUCAUACAAUGGCUGGUACAGAGGGUUGCCAACCCGCGAGGGGGAGCUAAUCCCAUAAAACCAGUCGUAGUCCGGAUCGCAGUCUGCAACUCGACUGCGUGAAGUCGGAAUCGCUAGUAAUCGCGGAUCAGCUUGCCGCGGUGAAUACGUUCCCGGGCA
rnacentral:rRNA from 1 species